AGUUUGAUCAUGGCUCAGGACGAACGCUGGCGGCGUGCCUAACACAUGCAAGUCGAACGGAGUUCAAGGAGCUUGCUCCUUGAAUUUAGUGGCGAACGGGUGAGUAACGCGUGAGUAACCUGCCUUUCGGAGGGGGACAACAGCUGGAAACGGCUGCUAGUACCGCAUAAAGUAUAACCAAGGCAUCUCGGAUAUACCAAAGAUUUAUCGCCGAAAGAUGGGCUCGCGUCUGAUUAGCUAGUUGGUAGGGUAAAGGCCUACCAAGGCUUCGAUCAGUAGCCGGACUGAGAGGUUGACCGGCCACAUUGGGACUGAGAUACGGCCCAGACUCCUACGGGAGGCAGCAGUGGGGAAUAUUGGGCAAUGGGCGAAAGCCUGACCCAGCAACGCCGCGUGAAGGAAGAAGGCUUUCGGGUUGUAAACUUCUUUGACGAGGGAUGAAAAAAAUGACAGUACCUCGAAAACAAGCUCCGGCUAACUACGUGCAGCAGCCGCGGUAAUACGUAGGGAGCAAGCGUUGUCCGGAUUUACUGGGUGUAACAGGGGUA
rnacentral:rRNA from 1 species